GGUGAACAAAAUGUUGGUCCAGUUCUAUGACUGAAUUAACCAUCCCCAAUUCCUCUUGCAACUAAAAUUUGGAAACUUGAUGAAGCAUCUGCACACAAUGAGUGACAACUUUUCUUCUCAAAAGGCCUUUUAAUUUCCUAGCACUAAUGGUUGUGAAUCCGGUCACCUCAGGUUAAACCCCUCUCAGUGUGAUCCUCUUGCCUUGAUAAGUGAAUUUUAUGGUUUUCUUCUUCCAAUGUACCCACAUGGGACUACAUUCCUCCAACCAAUCUUCUCC
rnacentral:lncRNA from 1 species